AACGAACGCUGGCGGCAGGCCUAACACAUGCAAGUCGAGCGCCCUUUCGGGGGAGCGGCGGACGGGUGAGUAACGCGUGGGAAUAUGCCCUUCUCUACGGAAUAGCCUCGGGAAACUGAGAGUAAUACCGUAUACGCCCUGUGGGGGAAAGAUUUAUCGGGGAAGGAUUAGCCCGCGUUGGAUUAGGUAGUUGGUGGGGUAAUGGCCUACCAAGCCGACGAUCCAUAGCUGGUUUGAGAGGAUGAUCAGCCACACUGGGACUGAGACACGGCCCAGACUCCUACGGGAGGCAGCAGAGGGGAAUCUUAGACAAUGGGGGCAACCCUGAUCUAGCCAUGCCGCGUGAGUGAUGAAGGCCUUAGGGUUGAAAAGCUCUUUCAGCUGGGAAGAUAAUGACGGUACCAGCAGAAGAAGCCCCGGCUAACUCCGUG
rnacentral:rRNA from 1 species